AUUAUUCAGAAAUGGUGUACAGGAAAAUGACCUAUGAAUUGACAGACAGUAUGGUUGUUUGUCUGUCAUUUCUGUAGGCCAAUAUUCUGUAUAUCUCUGUGACUUCA
rnacentral:pre_miRNA from 1 species